UCCUUGGUAGUCUAGUGUAUAGGAUUCAGUGCUUUCACCACUGUGGCCUGGGUUUAAUCCCUGGUCUGGGAA
rnacentral:tRNA from 1 species